AAUUGACUGGGAAUGAUAAAACGAGGGGCCACUGCUGUCCAGGAGAAUUCCAGGCCCCAGGACCUCCAAGCAACUUCCUCUCCUUCAUCAGCAGUUGCCAGCAGUCAUCCUCUGGGCUCUGCCAGCAAGUUGGCAGCAGGUGUGGGGGGUGGAACACAAGCUUAGAAGUCACAAAAUCAGUAUUCUGGGCCCUACAUGAUGAGCUGUCACUGAGUGAUGCUGGCAUUGCAACUGCUUCUGUAAACAGGUGGGAUGGGUUCAAAGUGUGGAAUCAUUACCACAGCUGAUUAAUGAUGAGGUGGCAGAGAUGUGAUGUUAGAUAACAUUCAACCACACAUUGAGACUACGAUUCCCUUUUUAGUUUCUUCAAUUCUUGUGAUUAUGAUAAAAAUAGAAGAAAGUUUCAAUCCAAUGCACUAUAUCCUUUUAUUUCCCCCCAUUGUUUUGAGACAGGGUCUCGCUCUGUCAUCCAGGCUGGAGUGGAGUGGCACGAUCAUAGCUCACUGUAGCCUCCUG